rnacentral:ncRNA from 1 species
CGGCGUCUGAGGCUUCGUGCCCAAAGUGCUAUGCUUCGGCCGGCAAAAAACAGUCAAACUCAGAACUGGCACGGACCGGGGGAAUCCGACUGUCUAAUUAAAACAAAGCAUUGCGAUGGCCGCUGGUCGGUGUUGACGCAAUGUGAUUUCUGCCCAGUGCUCUGAAUGUCAACGUGAAGAGAUUCAUCAAAGCGCGGGUAAACGGCGGGAGUAACUAUGACUCUCUUUGUGGAAUCAGAUACGGGUUGGGCCCUCCGACACCCCCGUGGUGACCAGUGCCACAGUGAGUUACCGCGGGGUUU